AUGUGGGCACAUUUGGAUCCAUCGAGGGUUGGCUGGUGCCCUCUAGUGGUUGAAGCUGUUCAGCCGCUUCUAAGGAGAGGCUGGCUUGAGAGGAAGCUGGAUUUGGCCGCUGGAGACCGGGCUGUGCCUUGGCGGGACACCGCGCCUCUCUGGGUGCAGUGUUUUAAUGUAUGCUUCCUCUUCCAAAGGACGCAGCUCCGAUAUGCCUUCUGGGAGGCACCACAGAGAUGCUUGGCACGCGUCUCCCACUGCCCUUCCUUCUCGACUUCACUGCAGGAAUCGCCCUGCAGUGGCACCACUUCUUCUCAAGUCUGACAGUAAGCCCCUGCAGACCAGAUGCCACAUCUUCCUACAGGUACGUCCCAAGUUUCUAAAGCAGUGCCUAGGGCCUUGCUAAUGCCCAGUAGAUGUUCGCUGGGAUGAUCUUGAUGCCGCCCAAACUCCUUGUUAGUUGCUGCCUCUUUCUCUGUUGCAAACACAGCUUCCAUGUCGGGAUUGCUGAGGGGCUGCCCCACCUCACAGACGUGCUUUCUCUUCCUUCUCCUUUCUUCACCAUGGAGGUGUCCCUUCUCCAGUCUCUCUGUGGGGAGAAAAUGCUCUCUCGUGUCAUAUCUGAAAUUUUUCUUCCUUCUAUGUCCUCUUGACACCUGGCUUGUUCUGUGAAAAUGUCCUCUGAAGUCCCCAGCCCAGCCCAGCUCUGUGGUGGGGCAAAGGGGGAGCCUGGUACCAGGGUCGUGGGAGCUCUGUGCCCUGGUGUGCCCCCUUGCUGGGUUCAUCUCAACUAAUGAGCUUUUUGUAUCCCUGUGCCAACUCUUGGGCUAUUUCCUUUUCUAGUCUUGGUUUUGAGUUUCUUCUUCUGACAUUUAAUUACCAGGAAGAAAAGUGGGAGGGAUGUAUUUUCUCAGAGAACUCCAUGAUUGUAAAAUCAUGGUGCCUGGUGUCAGGGGUGUGGCACCCACAGGGACACGGCUGGGUGCUUCUGUAGUUCAUUCUUGCUUCCCCGUCACACUGGCCUUCUCUGCAGAGGUCAAUGCCCUCCUACAGACCCCCUGCCCAACUCUCCCAGCCUCUUGCUUUUUAUCUCAAUCAGGCUAGAGAAAAAUAUUCCAAUCUCCAAAUUGGGACCCUCAACAAAGGAGGUUUUAUUCUUUGUGAAAUUUGUUUGCAUAAUAAGCCUUAAUAAGCCUUACAAUUAUGUGGCAUUUAAGUGAGAUCUAUAAUAAUUUUAUAGAAAAAGCAUAAAUGAUACUAAAUUGGAACUGUUUGAGAGAAUAUGGACUGUAAGUGUGCUGAGGCAAGUAAAACCACUGCAGAAAAAGGAUUUAAAAGCAGGGAGAAAUAAAACACUCUAUUUUAGCCAUAUUUUCCAGUAAGAGACAUUCCAAAGCCUACUUCAAUCAAAACUGCUUUUGUAUUAGUCAAGAGUGUUGGCAUGUAAAAUCUAUCGUUUAAAAUAGUUUCCAAAUACACUAGAAAGUGAGAAAUGAUAAGGUCCAUGAGAGGAUUCCUGUGCUGUCACUAAGUAUGCGUGCCUGGGAAGUCCAGGCGAGGGCAUGUUAUAGGUGAAUUGUGUCCUUCGGAAGGAUACAUUGACGUCCUGUCCCCGAGAACUAACCUGGAAAGUACAGUCAUUGCAGAUGUGAUUUGUUAGGACAAGGUCAUGCUGGACAGGGUGGACCCCUCAUCCAAUAUGACCAGAGUCCUCACAAGAAGACGGUGUGAGGACACAGAGGACACCAUGUGACAGCAAAGGCAGAGGCUGAGUUUCGCCAUCGCCAGCCGAGAUCACCAAGGGCUGCAGCCACACAGAAGCUGAACGACGGGGACUGGUGAGAGCGUGGCCCUGCCGCACCUCAAUUUUGUACCUGCAGCAUCCAGCACUGUCAGUGAACACAUGUCUGUAGUCUGAGCCAGUUUGUGGCAAUAUGCUACAGCAGUCCUGAGAAACUAACAGGCAGGAGAUGAAUGUCCAAGGCUGUGCAUUUCUUCGAAGGGUGAAACCUGGCUGCUGUGUGGCCUCGUUCACCAUAUCAUCCGGGUUAACACUCCGGUAGUUCGGCUUGCCAUAUGAAGGAAGCAUUAGUAAAAACGAAUGCGGGAUGGCUCCGCGCUGAGAUGGGACAAAUUGUUUGUACAUUGUGGUGAAUUCAUACAUAAAAUUAUUGGCCUUUUGCCAGCAACACUACCCUGUAAUUAGGUGUCUUUCAUUUGUGAAAGGGUGUGGCGAAUGUUGGUUUAAUGUUGGUCAGUUUAAUAAAAACCGAUUUGCCAAGAUUUAAUUCUGCAGAAAUAAAAUUUGCCUGAUGAUAAAUUCAUCAAAUUUACCGCAUUUGUUGACUUACUAAAUUUAUCAUUCAUGUUGAGUCACUUUACCGGCAAACAGAGCUCUGGAAAGAGUUAAUUCAUUUCCAGUUUUGUCGGUGUUAUCUGGCAGUAUUUAAGUAAGGUUCAAUUUCUCGAAGGCUGGCACUUGAGGGUAAUAUAGUCCUCUAUGAAUGAAUAUAUGUAGAAUCCAAUAAUGCAUAUUUUACCGUCAGAAACCCCAGUUUCAGGAUUUUAUAUGAACAUUUUUUUCUGUUAGAAUAUUAAUUUUUGCUUGACAAGCUUUUCUGCAGAUAGUGGUUAUAAGAUUCUUUUUCCAACUUCUCAAAUACUCCAUCAACCUUCGCUGGUGAUUUCUGGCCAUUAGUAGCCCAAAUAUUAGCACAUGUUAGAGUCAUUCCUGUCACUUCCUAGUUUGUUUCUUACUCUAUCCAUAUUUUAACUUUUAAAGCACUAUUUUACUAUCUUUUAUUCUUCACAUUUUUGUUGUUAUGGUAUAGGCAUAUUACAUUACUACAGUCUUUUGUAGUAAUACCUUAGGUCAUCGCCACCUCGAAAGGUUUUAUCUCUUCACACUGAAUCUUUCUCCAAACUGCCACCAAGCCUGUGUAUCCUUAAUGCUUUCUGUUAGAGUUCACAAUGUGAGCACUUCUUUAAAUCUAGAUGUUUAUAAAAACGCUGAAUAGGCCCAGUGUGGUGGCUCACACCUGUAACCCCAGCACUUUGGGAGGGUGAGGCAGGAAAGAUUACUUGAGGUCAGGGGUUGGAUACCAGCCUGGCCAACAUGGGCAAACCUGACUCUACCGAAAAAUACAAAAAUUAGCCAGGUGUGGUGUGUGUGCCUGUGGUACCAGCUACUCAGGAGGCUCAGGUGGGAGAGUCACUUGAACCUGGGAGGCAGAAGUUGCUGUGAGCCAACAUCGGGCCAGAGUGAGACCCUGUCUCAAAAAGAAAAACAAAAUGCAAAACACUUAAUAAACAAAUAUAGCAGUUGAUAAAUUUAACAAUGCCUUGUGCUGCUUUCGAUGGUUUCAACAGCCUGAGUCUAUUUUAUCGUUUUAGUUAUAAUUUAGUAAUUUAGUUGUAAUUUAGAAGUGACGGUUUUGCAGCAGCCUCUGUGUAGCCUGCUCAUUGAAUGUCAGUUUCCUGUGUUUCACAUUUCAGAUUCUGUGAGUUCUCUUUUGCAUAAAACAUAAGGAAAAUAUUCAUCCAAUAGAAUAGCUUAACAAAUCUGUGGAUCGGGGGAAAUAAAAAGGCAAUUGACUAAGUUGCAAAUAUGUCAUUGGAAGAAAAAACUGCAACUUGUCAUUUAUGACGUCAUUGUCACUUCCGCAUAGCCUGCCCUGACACUUCGUAAUCUAACCCCUAAUACUUCACUGUCAAAUCUGAGGCGCAGAUAGUGAUUUCAUCUGAAAUGUUAAAGUACAUCUCAAGUCAGAAUGAAUUCCUUACAGGCCAAGGCAUCUGAAGAUGGUGUCUCUGGCUUAGUUGCUCUUUUGUUUGUUUAAGAUAGGAUAUUGGGUGACAUUUGAUUCAGAUAAUCGGGUCAGAACUCAGCUCUGUGAUGUCCUGUGCAGCUCCGGUCUCCUGUGACUUCCCAACGCAGGUGCUGGAGAGGAGGGCGUAGCCUCCAUGUAGCCCUCAGUGAACGACAGACCCGAGGCAUCCACCAAUGCUCAUUAAAGUGGUUUCCAAGCGUUCCAGAAUAUGUGGGAGAAAAUAUACCCUUGGAAAUGUUGAAAUGUUUUAUAAGCAAGCACAUCCAGUUCCUGGGCAGCUCCAACUUGCUUGGCUCUCAUUUGCCCGACGGCUCAGCUGCAAUGCUGCCAAGGAAAACAGUCAUUGAAAGUCACACAGGUAAGGUGUGGUGUCACAAAUCAGUCACCCCCUGCUUCUUGCCACAGGGACAAAUUGAUGACAUUGCAGGAGACACAGAUAAUCCUCAUCUCCGAGUGGAAGACUGAUGUGGCUCCACUCCCUCCAUAUGAAGCAGUAACCGAGGACAAUGCUCGGAGCCGACCUCUGGGUGGUUCCCAGAAUGUGGGGUGACCCAGCUGCAUACAUAAGCCUGUCACACCACCCCAGGCUCCCUGUCACCAGCACUCAUCCGGGCGGCACAACCUUCUCAGAGUGGACUGGGAUGUUCUCAUCAUACUGCAUGCAUUCAUUUUCUUUUGCUGCUGUAGCAAAUUACACAGACUUGGUGGCUUCAAAUGACACAAAUUUAUUCAGAAGUCCAAAAUCAGUUUCAUGAAGUGAAAGUAGAAGUGUUGGCAGGGCUGGCCUCCUCUGAAGGCCCCAGGGGAGAAUCGCUUUGCCCUUUCAGCUUCUAGCAGUCACCCGGAUUCCUGGACUUGUGACCCCUUCCUCUGCCUUCACACUGUCCCUCCAGUCUCUGUUACCAUCAUCACAGUCCCUACUCCUGUUCUGUGGUCAGAUCUCCCCCACCUCCUCACAAGGACACUUGUGAGGACACUGGGCCCAUCUGGGUAAUCAGGAGCAUCUCCGCCUCUCAAAGCCCUCAACUUCAUCACAUCUGCAAAGUCUCUUUGGCCAUAUAAGGUGACAUGUACAGAUUCUGGGGAUGAGGGCAUGGAUAUCUUUAGGGGCUGUACUCAGCCUUGCAUGCUGGGCCAGGGUGUGCACUCACCAUUGAUGAAAGCUCAGUUUAUCACUCGCCAUUCCGAAAACACGUAAAGCCAGGGGAGGGCUGGGGGAGAUCCUCCUU
ensembl:lncRNA